GUCAGCUCGUGUCGUGAGAUGUUGGUUAAGUCCCGCAACGAGCGCAACCCUCGACCUUAGUUGCCAGCAUUCAGUUGGGCACUCUAAGGUGACUGCCGGCUAAAAGUCGGAGGAAGGUGGGGAUGACGUCAAAUCAUCAUGCCCCUUAUGACCUGGGCUACACACGUGCUACAAUGGGCGGUACAAAGGGUCGCGAACCCGCGAGGGGGAGCCAAUCCCAAAAAGCCGCUCUCAGUUCGGAUUGCAGGCUGCAACUCGCCUGCAUGAAGCCGGAAUCGCUAGUAAUCGCGGAUCAGCAUGCCGCGGUGAAUACGUUCCCGGGCCUU
rnacentral:rRNA from 1 species